rnacentral:misc_RNA from 1 species
GAAAUGCGAUAAGUAAUGUGAAUUGCAGAAUUCAGUGAAUCAUCGAAUCUUUGAACGCACAUUGCGCCCGCCAGUAUUCUGGCGGGCAUGCCUGUUCGAGCGUCAUUACAACCCUCAGGCCCCCGGGCCUGGCGUUGGGGAUCGGCGGAAGCCCCCUGCGGGCACAACGCCGUCCCCCAAAUACAGUGGCGGUCCCGCCGCAGCUUCCAUUGCGUAGUAGCUAACACCUCGCAACUGGAGAGCGGCGCGGCCACGCCGUAAAACACCCAACUUCUGAAUGUUGACCUCGAAUUAGGUAGGAAUACCCGCUGAACUUAAGC